GCCCCAACACCUGCUUUGCUUUUAUCAGUGAGGACCAGCUGGAUUGGUAAACAUCACAAGAAUAGAAGACAGACAGUGCAGCUUCUCUUUGAUGUAUUCUGGCAACUUAUCGUUUUCUCCAUAUCUACAAAGGCCCGAGGACACAGAGCCCUCCAAAUUCAAGACAGUUCUGCAUAACACAAGUAUACAAUUGUCAACCUAUGUUCCCAGGAGACAUUGUUGACAAAGUUUUGGAAUACAUGGACUUCUCAGAUGAUCUUAAUUCCAGAUAUCUCAGCAACCACUGGUACUGAUGCUGGAAGAGCCUGUAAAGGUUGUAGAGAUUGUAGCGUUUCCGCUGUCCAUGGAAUCUUCUGAAGUUCCUGAAUCUUUGCUCCGUGUAGACCUGCACCUGGACAUAAAAGGAUGAUCCAAC